rnacentral:lncRNA from 1 species
AAAUCGACUGGCACCUUAAUCUUGAACUUCCAGUCUCCAGAGCUGUUGGGUUAUCUCAGAAGCAGAACCUGAGACAAGAAAGUGAGUGGAAGCAGUUUAUUUGGGAGAAAGUCCCAGGAAGCACUGCUUACACUCUUGGAUCACUGACUCUGAGGGAAGCCAACUACCCUAUUGUGAAGCUACACACCAGCUCUGAAGUGAGAUCCACAAGAUGAUUCUGUGAGCCGUCACAAGGAAUGAAAGCCUCCAGACAACAGCUGCAUGAGACAGUUAGAAAGAGGACCCUCUAGCACCUGUCAAGUCUCUAGAUGGCAAAACCUGAGCCAGAACCACCCAGCUAAGCUUCUCCCAGGUUCUUGGCUCACAAAAGCUGUGAAAAGAAAUGUUUGUUCUUUUAAGCCAUUGAGUUUUGGGGUAAUUUGUUAAGUGGCA